CUUACAGAAUUUGCAAAUACAUAAUACCACCGCCCAACAAAUUACUUUGACGACUGUUCAGACACUCCCGCUUGGUCAAGUUGCAGCAGGUGGAGCAGUUGACUUCAACUCCAGGUAGUCUAAGCACUGGUCAGUUGCCAAAUCUACAGACAGUUACAGUAAAUUCUAUAGAUUCUAUAUAUCCAGGAGAGAAUGCUGACAGUCCUGCAGAUAUUAGGACCAAGGAGGAAGAGCCUGAUCCUGAAGAGUGGCAGCACAGUGGUGAUUCUACACUGAAUACCAAUGACCUAACACACGAGUACAAGUGGUAGUUGAAGAAGGGGACCAACAACAUCAAGAAGGAAAAAGACUUUGGAGGGUAGCGUGCACCUGUCACAACUGUAAAGAAGAUGGUGGGAGAGGUACCAAUCUUGGGAAAAAGAAGCAACACAUUUGUCAUAUACCAACAUGUGGUAAAGUCUAUGGGAAGACCUCACAUCUGAGAGCACAUUUAUGUUGGCACAUCUGGGGGAGCACCCUUUUAUUUGUAACUGGAUGUUUGUGGUAAAAGAUUUAC
rnacentral:lncRNA from 1 species